rnacentral:rRNA from 1 species
CAAUAGCGUAUAUUAAAGUUGUUGCAGUUAAAAAGCUCGUAGUUGGAUUUGUGGCGUACGGUGUGUUCCGGGCACUUGUUGUCUGAGUAACCUGCUGUUGCCAUCCUUGGGUGGAACCUGUGUGGCAUUAGGUUGUCGUGCAGGGGAUGCCCAUCAUUUACUGUGAAAAAAUUAGAGUGUUCAAAGCAGGCUUAUGCCGUUGAAUAUAUUAGCAUGGAAUAAUGAGAUAGGACUUUUUUGCUAUUUUGUUGGUUUGCGCAAAGAGGUAAUGAUUAAUAGGGACAGUUGGGGGUAUUCGUAUUCCAUUGUCAGAGGUGAAAUUCUUGGAUCUUUGGAAGACGAACUACUGCGAAAGCAUUUACCAAGGAUGUUUUCAUUAA